rnacentral:rRNA from 1 species
UACGUAGGGGUCGAGCGUUGUCCGGAGUUACUGGGCGUAAAGCGCGCGCAGGCGGCGCGAUAAGACCGGCGUGAAAGCCCCGGGCUCAACCUGGGAAUGGCAAUGGAUACUGGCAAGCUAGAGUGCGGUAGAGGGUAGUGGAAUUCCCGGUGUAGCGGUGAAAUGCGUAGAGAUCGGGAGGAACACCAGUGGCGAAGGCGGCUACCUGGACCAGCACUGACACUGAGGCACGAAAGCGUGGGGAGCAAACAGGG